rnacentral:rRNA from 1 species
CAGCAGCCGCGGUAAUACCAACCCCGCGAGUGGUCGGGACGUUUAUUGGGCCUAAAGCGUCCGUAGCCGGCCCGGUAAGUCCCUCCUUAAAGCCCACGGCUCAACCGUGGGAGCGGAGGGAUACUGCCGGGCUAGGGGGCGGGAGAGGCCGGGGGUACUCCUGGGGUAGGGGCGAAAUCCUAUAAUCCCAGGAGGACCACCAGUAGCGAAGGCGCCCGGCUAGCACGCGCCCGACGGUGAGGGACGAAAGCUGGGGGAGCAAAGGGGAUUAGAUACCCGGGUAGUCCUGGCUGUAAAGGAUGCGGGCUAGGUGUCGGGUGAGCUUCGAGCUCGCCCGGUGCCGUAGGGAAGCCGUUAAGCCCGCCGCCUGGGGAGUACGGCCGCAAGGCUGAAACUUAAAGGAAUUGGCGGG